CACGUAGGCACCAAGCGUUGUCCGGAUUUAUUGGGCGUAAAGAGCUCGUAGGCGGUUUAGUAAGUCGGGUGUGAAAACUCAGGGCUCAACCCUGAGCUGCCACCCGAUACUGCUGUGACUUGAGUCUGGUAGGGGAGUGGGGAAUUCCUGGUGUAGCGGUGAAAUGCGCAGAUAUCAGGAGGAACACCGGUGGCGAAGGCGCCACUCUGGGCCACGACUGACGCUGAGGAGCGAAAGCAUGGGUAGCAAACAGG
rnacentral:rRNA from 1 species